rnacentral:rRNA from 1 species
AUUGAACGCUGGCGGCAGGCCUAACACAUGCAAGUCGAGCGGGGUUUUCGGACCUAGCGGCGGACGGGUGAGUAAUGCGUAGGAAGCUACCCGAUAGAGGGGGAUACCAGUUGGAAACGACUGUUAAUACCGCAUAAUGUCUACGGACCAAAGUGUGGGACCUUCGGGCCACAUGCUAUCGGAUGCGCCUACGUGGGAUUAGCUAGUUGGUGGGGUAAUGGCUCACCAAGGCGACGAUCCCUAGCUGGUUUGAGAGGAUGAUCAGCCACACUGGAACUGAGACACGGUCCAGACUCCUACGGGAGGCAGCAGUGGGGAAUAUUGGACAAUGGGCGCAAGCCUGAUCCAGCCAUGCCGCGUGUGUGAAGAAGGCCUUCGGGUUGUAAAGCACUUUCAGUAGGGAGGAAGGGUGUUGUGUUAAUAGCACAGCAUUUUGACGUUACCUACAGAAUAAGCACCGGCUAACUCUGUGCCAGCAGCCGCUGUAAAAC